ensembl:snRNA U1 U1 spliceosomal RNA
GAGCUUAAGAAAAAAAAGAGAUACCAGGAUCUUAAAGGUGGUUUUCCCAGGACGAGACGUAUCCAUUGUACUCCAGAUGUGCUGACCCCUGCGAUUUCCUCAAAUGUGGGAAACUCGACUGCAUAAUUUGUGGUCAUGGGGGACUGCGUUCGUACUCUGCCCUG